CCUACGGGAGGCAGCAGUGGGGGAUAUUGCACAAUGGGGGAAACCCUGAUGCAGCGACGCCGCGUGAGUGAAGAAGUAUUUCGGUAUGUAAAGCUCUAUCAGCAGGGAAGAAAAUGACAGUACCUGACCAAGAAGCCCCGGCUAACUACGUGCCAGCAGCCGCGGUAAUACGUAUGGAGCAAGCGUUAUCCGGAUUUACUGGGUGUAAAGGGAGCGCAGACGGCAGGGCAAGUCUGAUGUGAAAGUCCGGGGCUCAACCCCGGGACUGCAUUGGAAACUGUCCGGCUAGAGUGCAGGAGAGGUAAGUGGAAUUCCUAGUGUAGCGGUGAAAUGCGUAGAUAUUAGGAGGAACACCAGUGGCGAAGGCGGCUUACUGGACUGUAACUGACGUUGAGGCUCGAAAGCGUGGGGAGCAAACAGGAUUAGAUACCCUUGUAGUC
rnacentral:rRNA from 1 species